AUACGGAGGGUGCGAGCGUUAAUCGGAAUUACUGGGCGUAAAGGGUGCGUAGGCGGCUUGAUAGGUCGGAUGUGAAAGCCCCGGGCUUAACCUGGGAAUUGCAUUCGAUACUGUCAGGCUAGAGUAUGUCAGAGGUUGGCGGAAUUCCUGGUGUAGCGGUGAAAUGCGUAGAUAUCAGGAGGAACACCAGUGGCGAAGGCGGCUAACUGGGGCAAUACUGACGCUGAGGCACGAAAGCGUGGGGAGCAAACAGGAUUAGAAACCCUAGUAGUCC
rnacentral:rRNA from 1 species